CACGUAGUUAGCCGGGGCUUCUUAGUCAGGUACCGUCUGUUUCUUCCCUGCCGAUAGGGCUUUACGCACCGAGGUGCUCCUUCACCCACGCGGCGUCGCUGCAUCAGGGUUCCCCCCAUUGUGUAAUAUUCCCCACUGCUGCCUCCCGCAGGAGUCUGGGCCGUGUCUCAGUCCCAGUGUGGCCGUCCGCCCUCUCAGGCCGGCUACCGAUCGUCGCCUUGGUGGGCCGCUGCCCCGCAACUAGCUAAUCGGACGCGGGCCCAUCGCGCACCGUCCGGGUCGCCCCGGGCUUUCCCCGCAGGGCCAUGCGGCCCCCCGGGAAUACUGCGGUAUUAGCGGCCGUUUCCGGCCGUUGUCCCCCUGUGCGCGGCGGGUUGCCCACGCGUUACUCACCCGUCCGCCACUGGCCGCGCCUUCACUAGGUUUCAGGCGCGGCCCGUUCGACUUGCAUGUGUUAGGCACGCCGCCAGCGUUCAUCCUGACGCCAGGACUCAAACUCU
rnacentral:rRNA from 1 species